AAAGAGACCUUUAGUUUGAAACCCCGAAACCAGGUGAGCUACCCCGAGACAGCCUAAGUAAUUUAGGGCUAACCCGUCUCUGUGGCAAAAGAGUGGGAAGAGCUCCGGGUAGAAGUGACAGACCUACCGAACCUGGUGAUAGCUGGUUGCCUGAGAAAUGGAUAGAAGUUCAGCCCCGUAUGCCCCGUACCAAAAACAUCAUUUUAAGAUUUAGGGAAACUUAUGGGAGUUAGUUAAAGGGGGUACAGCCCCUCUAACAAAGGAUACAACCUUUACAGGAGGAUAAAGAUCAUAAUAUUUAAAACACACUGUUCUAGUGGGCCUAAAAGCAGCCACCUAAACAGAAAGCGUUAAAGCUCAGACAGAAAGAAGUUUAUUAUAAUGAUAAAAAAUCUUAUUCCCCUAAUAGUAUCAGGCUAUUCCAUGCUCACAUGGAAGAGAUUAUGCUAAAAUGAGUAACAAGAAGACUUGAUCUUCUCCAAGCACAAGUGUACACCAGAUCGGACCAACCACUGGAAAUUAACGAACCCAAACAAAGAGAGUAUUGUGAAUUAUAUAAAAACCAGGAAGACCCCACAAUUAAAUAAUCGUUAACCCCACACUGGAGUGCUAUAAAUUAAGGAAAGACUAAAAGAAAGGGAAGGAACUCGGCAAACAUAAGCCUCGCCUGUUUACCAAAAACAUCGCCUCCUGCAAACAAAUUAAGUAUAGGAGGUCCAGCCUGCCCAGUGACUACGGGUUCAACGGCCGCGGUAUUUUGACCGUGCAAAGGUAGCGCAAUCACUUGUCUUUUAAAUAGAGACCUGUAUGAAUGGCUAAACGAGGGCUUAACUGUCUCCCCCUUCCAGUCAGUGAAAUUGAUCUAUCCGUGCAGAAGCGGGUAUAAUUAUACAAGACGAGAAGACCCUUUGGAGCUUAAGGUACAAAAUUCAACCACGUUAAACAACUAAACAAAGAGGGGGAACUUAGUGGGACCUGAAAUUUUACCUUCGGUUGGGGCGACCGCGGAGAAAAAAUCAGCCUCCGAGUGGAAUGGGCCAAAACCCUAAAACCAAGAGAAACAUCUCUAAGCCGCAGAACAUCUGACCAUUAAUGAUCCGGCCAAACAGCCGAUCAACGAACCAAGUUACCCUAGGGAUAACAGCGCAAUCCUCUCCCAGAGUCCAUAUCGACGAGAGGGUUUACGACCUCGAUGUUGGAUCAGGACAUCCUAAUGGUGCAGCCGCUAUUAAGGGUUCGUUUGUUCAACGAUUAA
rnacentral:rRNA from 1 species